ensembl:lncRNA
CCUCAUUGGCUUAUAAAACCUUGGCUGGGUGUUCCUUUGGCUUGCAUUGAAGCAGAAAAAAUAGUUUUGCAACAUGUGGGACUGAAGUUCUUACUCUGCUAUUUGCUAGGAAUUUAUUUGCUAAAAAGAAAUUCAAUGCAGGCUUUUCUGAUAGCAAACAAAAAUAUAUGUCUCGCUUAAGUUUCCCCAGAUGAAUUGUAAAAUAUAACUUAAUAUGCACAUGCAUCUGUUCUGUGGAAACUACAGACAGGAGGAAAAUUAUAUACCUGACCUGCUCUAGGAUUACAAGAGCCCCCAUUCCUGUUACACGACAGAGGUCAGAAUUUACUGGCAUCAGCGGCAGCUGCUACAGAGAGCAAAGCACUGAGCUCUGGUUGCCUUUUGAGAAAAGGACUUCUCCUGCUGGCUUUUUUUUUUAUCUGAAGAGGGCAUCACUUCCUUCAGGAUGUCAGAUCUUUCUCAAACUGUGAUGUGAACUGGCAAGUGGGCUGCCAAGAGUGAGAUGAAAGAGCACGACAGAGACUCCAGAGUAUGGCAGGGUUUGAUGGCAGCGGGGCCGUUUCCGCACCGCACUGCCCGGGUGGUGAUGAUGUGUGAAAUAGUGUCCUCUGCUGCACGAACCGACACAGUGCGCCUGCC